AUUGUACGCUGGCGGCAUGCUUUACACAUGCAAGUCGGACGGCAGCACAGAGAAGCUUGCUUCUUGGGUGGCGAGUGGCGAACGGGUGAGUAACAUAUCGGGACGUACCGAGCAGUGGGGGAUGACUAAUCGAAAGAUUAGCUGAUACCGCAUAUUUUCUGAGGAAGAAAGCAGGGGACCAUUUUGCCUUGCGCUGUUUGAGCGGCCGAUAUCUGAUUAGCUAGUUGGUGGGGUAAAGGCCUACCAAGGCGACGAUCAGUAGCGGGUCUGAGAGGAUGAUCCGCCACACUGGGACUGAGACACGGCCCAGACUCCUACGGGAGGCAGCAGUGGGGAAUUUUGGACAAUGGGCGCAAGCCUGAUCCAGCCAUGCCGCAUGUUCUGAAGAAGGCCUUCGGGUUGUAAAGGACUUUUGUCAGGGAAGAAAAGGGCGGGGUUAAUACACCCUGUCUGAUGACGGUACUCUGAAGCAUAAGCACCGGCUUAGACUAAA
rnacentral:rRNA from 1 species